UACGUAGGGUGCGAGCGUUGUCCGGAAUUAUUGGGCGUAAAGAGCUCGUAGGCGGUCUGUCGCGUCGAUCGUGAAAACUUGGGGCUUAACCCUGAGCUUGCGGUCGAUACGGGCAUGACUGGAGUUCGGCAGGGGAGACUGGAAUUCCUGGUGUAGCGGUGAAAUGCGCAGAUAUCAGGAGGAACACCGGUGGCGAAGGCGGGUCUCUGGGCCGAUAUUGACGCUGAGGAGCGAAAGCGUGGGGAGCAAACAGG
rnacentral:rRNA from 1 species